rnacentral:rRNA from 1 species
GACGAACGCUGGCGGCGUGCUUAACACAUGCAAGUCGAACGAAGUGGCGAACGGGUGAGUAACGCGUAAUCAAACUCCCCUUCAGAGGGGGACAACAGUGGGAAACGACUCCUAAUACCGCAUACUGAAGGAGGGGAUUGCGUCUGAUUGGCUAGUGGGAGGGGUAACGGCCCACCAAGGCGAUGCUAAGGAGCCGGUCUGAGGAGAAGAACGGCCAAAUUGGGACUGAGACACGGCCCAGAAUCCUACGGGAGGGAGGAAGGGGGAAUCUGCCGCCAUGGACGAAAGUCUGAAGGAGGAAAGCCGCGGGGUGUAUGAAGGGCUUCGGGGUGGAAAGCUCUGUUAAGCGGGAAGCGGUACCGGAAUAGAAAGCCACGGCUAACUACGUGCCAGCAGCCGCGGUAAUUC